CAGCCGCCGCGGUAAUACCGGCGGCCCGAGUGGCGGUCACUAUUAUUUGGCUUAAAGCGUCCGUAGCCGGGUUGGGAAGUCCUCCGGGAAAUCUGGCCGCUUAACGGUCAGAAUGCCGGAGGAUACUCCCAGCCUAGGGAGCGGGAGAGGCCGAGGGGAUUCCCGGAGUAGGGGGGAAAUCCUAUAAUCCCGGGAGGACCACCAGUGGCGAAGGCGCUCGGCUGGAACGCGGCCGACGGUGAGGGACGAAGGCCAGGGGAGCAAACCGGAUUAGAUACCCGGGUAGUCCUGGCUGUAAACGAUGCGGACUUUGUGUCGGACAAGCUAUGAGCUUGUCCGGUGCCGGAGGGAAACCGUUAAGUCCGCCGCCUGGGGAGUACGGCCGCAAGGCUGAAACUUAAAGGAAUUGGCGGG
rnacentral:rRNA from 1 species